UUGAAAGCACUGCCAUGUUCCAGGAUGGAACAUUUCUCAUAAUAACAACAUGUUGGAACUAAAACCCUUAUUGAGUUUAAAAUGAUUCCUAUGUUCUGGGUGUCUGGUGAAAAGAUCUGAUUUCCAUUUGUGGUAGUUCUAGUGCUUUAUGAAAUAUUUAUAUGGGGGAAGAUGUGCUUUCUUGUUGCCUUUUUAUUCAGACUUCUUAUUUAAAACUGCCCUAGAUCAAAUCAAUAUUAGAAUGAUAAUGUAAAAGAAAUUACAACUGUUUUAUACAGCUGCCAGAAGAGUGAUUUAAUUCAAAUCAGAGCAAGUCCAGGGGGAAGUAUGUGUGAAUCUAUCUCAAACACAGCAUUUAGGAAUUGUUCAGUGAUAAUUUAGAGUGAAAUAACCUGAUGUGAGUAUAUAUGCUAAAACACCUAAAUGACUAGUUAUAACAAAGGUACUAUGGCUUUAAGGAAAAAGCUAAUCAUACUUGUGCUGUGGCUAUAAUAUAUGCAAAUCAUAUUCACUCUUCAUGAAGAGUCUUCAAAGCCACUUACAACUUUCUGUAUUUAGUAUUUACAUUUUUACACUGCCUUUUCAUGUGACGGACAGGUAGGUAGGAAGUAUUGGAAGUGGAGGGAAGUGGGAAGACCAUCAGCUGUCAAUUCAGACGCCUGGCAUCUUGCUCUGGUUUUGCUGCUAAUUUCCUCACUAUCUCAUCUUCCUCCUCGGGAAAAGAUCCUCGGGCUCUCAUCCCAUUUUUCACAUCCUAAAAGUCUGCGAGUCAGGAAUACUAAAACCCUAAAGUACCUUCCCUAACAAUAAAGUGAAACCCAGCAGGCACUGUGCAUCAUAUGAGAUAUUCAUUACAUGAGGGAAUUUUAAAAUCUACCAAGUAUCAGACUGAUUGUAGAAUACAUAAUAUCUACUAAGUAUCAGGCUCUGUGCUAUAUUUGUUAUAUGCAGUGUCUACUAAGUAUCAGUACUAAGUACUGUAGGAGACACAGAAUCUAUGAAGUAUCAGAUUGCAUUCUAGACUACAUGGUAUCUACUAAAUAUCAUUCUGUACUGCAGGAGACUGAUACAACAGAUCAAGAAUAGAGGUACAAACUAGGGCUCCUAACUCAUUUCUAUGUUUGAGUCUUGGCCGUGACACUGGCAAGCUUGGGGAUGUCAAACCUUUGACUUUGCCUCAUUUCACCUCAAUUUUGUCUUUUAAUUGAACACAAAUUAUAGUUUCUACCUCACAGUUCUGGCAUUAGGAUUAAAUGAGAUAAUAUAGAAAAAAUUUACUCAUACUAGUGGUAAAAUACUACUGGUACAUGAGAAAUACUCUAUACAUUGCCAUUUCAUUGAAUUCUCCCAAAGCUCCAUAAAGCACAGAUUUCUGUGAUCAUUAUACAUGGCAUCUGAGUGUCAGAGAGACUAAGUAACUCAGCCAAUGACCUCACAGGUCCUAAUAGCACUGUUUUGAGCAAAACAGGCUGUUUGGUGCUGUUCUCCAUGACAGAAGGUUGUCACCAGGUAAUGUGUCUCUUCUCUGGGUGUGGCUGACUUUUUCUUUUAAGGUGACUCUAGCUUCGACCCAGCAUUCAGGCUCAUGUUCUGCGGUGGGCAGAGAUGCUCCCUUGAAUCAUUAAAGAGUAACUGAAUGUGGGAAGAAGCAGUUGAUGUGACAUCAUUGUCUGUAGAGAACUCUGAGUGCAUAGAGCGAGAGAUGUGGGGAUCACCUGGCCAAUGCAGAAAAUUUAGAUGCUUUCGGGAAGAAGGUAGUUGAUAUACACGUGAUAGAAGCACCUAUACAGCUCUAGGAUAGCUGAAGGUCAACUAUCACCCCAGGUAAAUGUUUGCGUCUUGGUUCAAAUGCUGAGGAGGUUACACUAGGGAACCUUUGCAGGUCUUCUGAACGUGUUUCCAGGGACUGUCACUCUGUGCAUCCAGGUCCAUAUUCCCACAGGAUGCUCUGGGGGUCAGAGCGUGAAAGCCUCCUUGUAAGAGGGAUGUCUCAUCAGUGGUUUCCAGAUGCUGCUUCAUGAACUGGCGGUGGUUUGGGAAGAUGUUUUUCUCCAGUUGUGACAAAAUAUAACAAAUAAAGACAAUUAUUAUUAGUAUUGGUUUAUAACAAUUUUAUAGCAGUACCCUAUGGUUAUAAUGCAGUUGAGUUGUAAUUCUAGGCUAGACCUAUGCAAAUAAAUGGGUCCCAGAAUGUUUCUUGGAGCAUUGAUGUUCCAUGGAAUUCAGAAGCCUUGGAAUCCCUAAUGGGACCCAGCCUUCUGUGUGGCAGGAGCAGCACACCUGAGCUAGCUGCUCAAGUUGUAUGGCUCCUUGGGAACCAUCAGCUCUGUCCUGCCACUUCGUAAUGUGGCCUUGAGUUACUUAACAUCACCGGGACUCAGUGGCUAACCACAACAAUGGGCUCUUUCUUUUUCACACCACAUGCUCAUUACAUGUUCUCAUUGUUUCAUGACACCCUUCUUCUUCAAGGACCCAAGCUGGAGGAGCCUCCACCUCUUAGAUCCUCUAGCCUAGUGGCAAUCCAGUAAAUGGUGGUCAUGAGAAGUUCUAUCACAUUCUUUGCUGAAAUCGUCACAGUAUUUGGAUAUUUUGCCCUUGGCUUAUCAAAAUAGGAAGUCUAUCAAACAAGAAACUGAGUUGGAUGCUACGGGCUCAACCUGUGAGCUGGAUUUACUCUUCCAUCUAGCCUGGAGAAAAAUGGUCUUGUAUUGUAUCUGUCAUAAUUUGGCUUUUAAAGAUUAACUACAGAGACAGCACUUAACAAAGAGGAACAUUGGAAAAAUUCAGAAAUCAGCAUCCAGAAAACAAACCACAGUCAAUUCUCCCGAAUAUCAGAGUGAAAUGAAAUUCACACAUACGAAUGGAUUGCUUAGGUAACAUUACAAUAAACUGAGAUGGGAUUUUAAUUACA